CAUUACUUUGCCAACAAAGGUCCGUCUAGUCAAGGCCAUGGUUUUUCCAAUAGUCAUGUAUGGAUGUGAGAGUUGGACUAUAAAGAAAGCUGAGCACUGAAGAACUGAUGCUUUUGAACUGUGGUGUUGGAAGACUCUUGAGAGUCCCUUGGACUGCAAGGAGAUCCAACCAGUCCAUCCUAAAGGAGAUCAGUCCUGAAUAUUCAUUGGAAGGACUGAUGCUGAAGCUGAAACUCCAAUACUUUGGCCACUUGAUAUGAAGACCCAUUUGAAAAGACCCUGAUGCUAGGAAAGAUUGAGGGCAGGUGGAGAAGGGGACGACAGAGGAUGAGAUGAUUGGAUGGCAUCAUUGACUCAAUGGAUAUGAGUUUGGGUGGACUCUGGGAGUUGGUGAUGGACAGGGAGGCCUGGUGUGCUGCAGUUCAUGGGGUUGCAAAGAGUCAGACACGACUGAACGACUAAACUGAAUUGAACUGAAAGGCAUCAAAGAUACUUCAUAAGAAGAUACCUGGCAUACUAAGAAAUGAAACAGUUUACCAUAGGUUCUUUCACACAACAUGGAUAAGGUGUAGAAAUGGAGUCAAGGAAGCUGAGAUACAUAAUAAUCAGUGGACAUGAAUUUUCACAAACUCCAGGAGACAGUGAAGGACAGGGAAGCCUGGUGUGCUGCAGUCGACGGGGCUGCAGAGUUGAACACAACUUAGAGACUGAACAACAACAAGCCUGUAUAUCCAAUGCCCCACCCACCUGGAAAUUUUCUGUUUCUCUAAACAUCCUGACUUCCUAUGGCUUGCACACACUCUACUCCUUAACAGGUUCCAACUUCCUUCAUUCAUUUUUUAUCUAGGGAAUUUCCACUCAUCUUCAAGAUCUCAGCUUUGAGCAGCUUUUAAUGUCUUCCCCACGUGGACAGAGUUGCUUUGGUCUUGCGGUUUCCACCAGAACUUUGGCCAUACCAUUUCUUUAACUCUUAUCUUGGUUAAUAUUGAAAAUUAUCUGUGCAUAUGUCUUCCCAAUUAGGACUUGAAUUAUUUGAGGACUAAACUCAACAGCCAGCAUAAUAUUCCAUAUAAGGUAGAUAAUCCAUGAAAUAUUUUGUGCAUGAGAAUACUAAUAAAUUAUUUGCUGCAAAAGUAUUAGAAUUAAGGAUAUAGGCAAAGAGCCUCCAUUCUCUGAAUGCAUUUCAGAACUAAUUUUGUUUUCCUUUGGCUUCCCAUGUGAUGUUAAUGGUAAAGAACCGGCCUGCCAAUGCAGGAGACAUAAGAGAUGUGGGUUCGAUCCCUGGGUCAGGAAGAUUCCCUGGAGGAGGGCAUGGCAACCCACUCUAGUAUUCUUGCGUGGAGAAUCUCAUAAACAGAGGAGCCUGACGGACUAUAGUCCAUAGUGUCGCAAAGAGUUGGACACAACUGAAUCAACUUAGUGCACGCACGCACUUGUUUACCUCGAUGAGAGAGACUCAGGUAUUUCAGGUAUAUAAUUGAAGACGGCCUUGAAUUUCAACGCUUCUAUGACUUUACAAACUUGUUUGUGAAAUAAUACUCAUACAAUUAAAUGUAUUUGGAUGAC
ensembl:lincRNA